rnacentral:rRNA from 1 species
GAUGAACGCUAGCUACAGGCUUAACACAUGCAAGGCGAGGGGCAGCAGGGAUUUAGCUUGCUAAAUCCGCUGGCGACCGGCGCACGGGUGCGUAACGCGUAUCCAACUUUCCCGUUACUCAGGGAUAGCCUUCCGCAAGGGAGAUUAAUACCUGAUGCUGUUUGAAGUUCGCAUGUUCUUCAAACUAAAGAUUUAUCGGUAACGGAUAGGGAUGCGUGACAUUAGAUAGUAGGCGGGGUAACGGCCCACCUAGUCUACGAUGUCUAAGGGUUCUGAGAGGAAGGUCCCCCACACUGGAACUGAGCCACGGUCCAGACUCCUACGGGAGGAAGCAGUGAGGAAUAUUAGUCAAUGGUCGGAAGACUGAACCAGCCAAGUAGCGUGAAGGAUGAAGGUUCUAUGGAUUGUAAACUUCUUUUAUACGAGAAUAAAACAUCCCACGUGUGGGAUCUUGUAUGUACCGUAUGAAUAGGCAUCGGCUAACUCCGUGCCAGCAGCCGCGGUAACAC